CAGGCCCUGGCCGACUGCCGGCGCGCCCUGGAGCUGGACGGGCAGUCUGUGAAGGCGCACUUCUUCCUGGGGCAGUGCCAGCUGGAGAUGGAGAGCUAUGAUGAGGCCAUCGCCAAUCUGCAGCGAGCUUACAGCCUGGCCAAGGAGCAGCGGCUGAACUUCGGGGACGACAUCCCCAGCGCUCUUCGAAUCGCGAAGAAGAAGCGCUGGAACAGUAUUGAGGAGCGGCGCAUCCACCAGGAGAGCGAGUUGCACUCCUACCUCUCCAGGCUCAUUGCCGCGGAGCGUGAGAGGGAGCUGGAAGAAUGCCAGCGAAACCACGAGGGUGAUGAGGACGACAGCCACGUCCGGGCCCAGCAGGCCUGCAUUGAGGCCAAGCACGUGAGGAUGCCCCCCACCCACAUGACAAGUACAUGGCGGACAUGGACGAGCUCUUUUCUCAGGUGGACGAGAAGAGGAAGAAGCGAGACAUCCCCGACUACCUGUGUGGUAAGAUCAGCUUUGAGCUGA
rnacentral:sRNA from 1 species